rnacentral:rRNA from 1 species
ACUUUUAACAAUGGAUCUCUAGGCUCUCAUAUCGAUGAAAAACACAGUGAAAUGUGAUAAGUAAUGUGAAUUGCAGAAUUCAGUGAAUCAUUGAAUCUUUGAACGCACCUUGCGCCUUUUGGUAUUCCAAAAGGUACACCUGUUUGAGUGUCAU